CCCUGGAUAGCUUAGUGGGCAAAGCACUUGGCUCACUAUCUCAAGGUGGCAGGUUCAAAUCCUGCCAGGGA
rnacentral:tRNA from 1 species